rnacentral:sRNA from 1 species
CCGGGCGCGCGCCAUCGCGGGCCUCCGCCUCCUCCGCGAUCCUCCCCCUCCAGACCACUCGCGAUCCCUCGGGGCCAGGCGGGGCGGACCCAGGCAUCCACAGGUUUCGGGGACAGGAGCCAAACGAACUCUUGUCAACUCACCUGCCAAAAGAUCGCAAAAGCCUUCGUCCCCCUUCUGGUCUCAAUGUUUCCAUCGCGGAAAAUGGGGCGAUGGAUUCUGUGUGGGCCAAGGAAGUUGGGGGACACCGAGCAGAAUGGAUUGGGGUGUCUUGGAGUUCAAGUGGAUGGGGUGCUAUGGUCCUUUUCUCAGACUCUGGUACCUUGCCUCCAAGCCUGAAGUUGGAGAUGCUGCUGGAUGUAUGGGAGGAUUGAAGGGGUCAGCUCGCCGGGGAGGAUGCUUGCAGGGCGGGGGUAGUUAGAGGGUGUCAGAGGAGUAAGGAAAGAGAAAUCUCUGUCAUCUUUCUGUCCCUGGGCUACAGCAAGGAAGGCAGGGAAGGACCUAGGAGGAAGGGCUGAGGCCAUGCGCGAGCUGGACCCGACUGAGCAGAGCCAGAGGAGAGGCGUGUGGCCCCGCCUGGACCCUGGCCAAGCCCGGGCGGGGGCGAGAGCUGGCAGCCGAGGGGUUCGCCCUGCCCAGUCCGGCCGGGCGGGUGGUGGAGAUGUGGGGUCGAUUGACCAAACAGGUGCGCCCCCGCCCCUCCCCAUCCGCCCCCGCUGGGGCCCGUGGGCGGGCAGAGCUGCGGCAGCGGGCCCUGCGAUUGGCAGGGAAGGGCAGGCCGGGUAGCCAGGGAGCAGAGAGCCGCGGCGCCGCGGGAGGCGGCGGAGCCGGCCGGAGCUUGCUCCUGCCCGGCCCGCUCCGCUCGGCCCAGCCGGCCCCACGGAAACUUUCCUACGGCCGAACUGGCAGCCCAGUGUCCUGCGACCCGGAGAUUUGGUGACUACGGGACCCUGGCCUUCUCCGACUGCGCAGCGCCCAGCGGCCAGGCCAGCACGUAGAGCUAUUAGCAUGCAGACUUGCCUGUCUCCCAAGGCAGGCACUGGACUUCUGGAGUUGACAGACCUGGUACUUCUCAUCCAUCUCCACAGUGUGAGUGAGUUCACCACGGGCCUUCUGAUGCCUGGUGACUCUCAUCCAGCUUAGCCAGUGCUCUGCCAAUGCUUCUGGCCCAGAGCAGUUUCCUUGCAUCCUAUAUUUUAGCGCACCCAGGCAGGAGCCUCUGUGCUGCACUUGGGCUGGGCUGACUGUUGCUGAAGGACAAACAGAUGCUUAGGAUUCACGGACAGAUGUCUGCCUCUUUUGGGUCCGUUACCCACCGUGUGUGUGUGUGUGUGUGUGUGUGUGUGUGUGUGUGUGUGUGUGUGUGUAUCUGUGUGUUAUUAGAGAUAGAAUAUUUGGGAUCUUGAACAUGGUAGGCACAUAUCUGUCUCUAGGCCACUGCCCCCUUCCCCAUCUCAAUCCUGAAAUGCUUUUCAGAAAAGUCCCUUCUGGCAUCUAAGAUAGACAGGUCUAGAAACAAGUCUGAGAAGAGCCACCUUGUCAGCCCCUUCCUGCAGGCAGAACUUCAUGUCCCAGAUGACAAAGCCCUAACCACCUUUAGACUCAAGAGAACAUUUGGGGAUUAUGAAGGUUCUACUGGGUUUAGGAGAUUAUUCUGGAAUCACAGAUGUUGUCCUAGAGGCACCAAGCGGGUCACUUUCUGGGGUUGUACAGCCUCCCUGGAAAGGGUUUCUCUUGUUGAAAGAAGGCUGUGGAGCCCCAGAGGCCAGAGCAGAAACAAAAUCACAGACAGAUUUAUGCCAAACACAGCAUCUGUUUAAACCUCCUGGCUUGUGAGGUCCAUUCAUCUAGUGGGACUGGCUUUACCCAGGCCUCCUUUAGUCUCCUGGUGAUUUUCUGCUAAGGAAACCAAGGCUCUGAGAAAGGGGACACACGGUUGGCUCACUCAGGCUAAAAAAGUUACCCCUUGAUGCCCCACCCCACCAUCUCCCCCACUCUCUUGCUUCCCUCCUGAUUCUCACAGGAGGGGCUGUUUGUGGUACUCCGGGAACACAGCCAGGGUCUGUCCUUUGAGAUACCCCUUGUUGGACCAUUUUCUUGGCCACUUUCCUGAUGACGGUGAAUGCAAGCAGAGGCACUAGCUAAAGUGGGCCUGGGCGGGUUGCUGGACAGUGUGUGAUUGAACUUAGAGCGGAGAUUGUAGCUGUGAGGUAGAGUGCUUGCCUGGCAUGCAGGAAACCCUGGGAGGCAUCCUCAGUAUGAGAUACAGAAGAAUGAAGCUGACACUCACACAGGUCGGUCGGGUGACAGGGAGGGAACUGUGACCUGAGGGAGGAAAGUCUCUCCCCUUGUGGUCCUGGUGGCUGGUUCCCAUGAAAAGGUACUGGAGGGAUAGGUAAUAGAUAAUGUUCCCCUAGUUGUACAAGUAGGAACCCUUGAAGCCUCAAAGCUCUCCAUUUUUGCUAAUGAAUGUUUCCUUCUGGUGCCUUCCCAGUUUAUCUGUCUUUGCUCCCACAGAGCCAGUUCCCUGUGGUACAGGUGCCUUAGCAUUGGCCCCUGGGGGUGACUCUAGCAAAGCUCACUUAGAGAAGAGUCAGGAGAGGGCACUGGGUAAGGAAAUAAGGAAAAGAACUAGUGUGGCCUCUCUCCACUCACUCGCUGUGAUCACAUCUGGCCGUCUUGGAAAAUACAUGACAACUGAGUCCACUAGGAAAACCGAUAUUUGCUGGGAGCUGUGAAGACCCGGCUAGACACAUUGGAAGCUGGCAGUGGUUGGAGUGGAGACCUCAGGGCCUUUCCCGGCAGAGGGACUGCCAUCAGCGAUCAACGCUGGCUGGGGCUACUUCCAGGAGGAGAACAUUCUUAAAAGGCCCUGUCACCCCCUGAUAGGAAUUGGCGGGGUGUGUGAGGGAUUUGUUUUUCGGUCAGGAUGUGGGGAGUUAAAAAUAGACUUUGUAAUCCCUUGGGUUCGAGUCACACUUGAAGCCCUGCAGAGCCCUCUGGCUCCAUUAUCUCCCUUGAGUGGCUCUGCGGCUGCUGUUGAAGUGGGUGGAGGCCGGGCUGCCUGCUUUCAUGAGUACACAGAGAGAAUGUGCACCCAGUUUCUUGGUUGCACCCAGACACUGCGUCUAGAAGUGAGUGGCAGAAUCUAAGUCUGUCCCCAGCUCAUUUAUCUGAGUUCUGAGGGCAAGUCAGCAGACUGAAGGGGUAUAGGGAUCACUCGAAACUAUGCAGGUAGACUUUUCAGCCAAGCGCUAAAGGUGGCAAGAAUCAAGACAUGAAUCAAGGCUCCAGAGAGGAAGGCUCGAGGCCAGAGAGCAGCAGAAAGCUGCUCCCUGCUAGGUCAUGGAACGGGAAGGUGGUGAUGAGUCUGAGGCAGAGAAGUGUCACGAGGACCCCAAAUUGGGGACCUUUAAUGAUGUAAUAAGGAUUAUGGAUUAGCGGUUGCAAGUUCUCAUCUGUAACCUCAAAAUGAGGAAGAUGAGUUCUAGGCCAGCCCGUGCAAAAUGAGACCCCGUUUUCAAAACAAAACAAACCCAAAAGGACUGUGAAUACUAUUUCUCGGGCAACGGGGAGCCUUUGAGGGUCACAGAGGAUGGUGGUGUCCUGAUCUAUAAGAAGCACAGUGCUGCUUCUGAUUUUGGGAUGAGCACCCCUGUAAGGUUGACUGGGUUAAAGUCUGCUCACCUCCCGGGUCUCCUUAUGUCAGGACAGCCUGUUUUUCUGCUACCUGGGAAGUCUGGGAAGAGCCAGCUCUGUGGAAAGCUUGCACAUGAGUUCUUCAGUUCUUUCUAGUUUUUAAAGUAGGCGGUCCAGGUUGGCCAUCUCCACUCUCAGAGGUGAGAGCAGGGAAGCCAGCAGGGGUGAGGCUGCAUCCAGAGGCUGUCUCUCCUGUCCUGUCCUGACUCUGGGGGAUCUCUGCAGGACUCUCCUGGGACAGGCUUCCAGCCUCACACUGGGCUUGUUUUACUUCCCAUUCCAGGCCACCUUCUCCAGGCUGCCUGCCCAAUCCCCUCCCUCAACACUGGUUUCUACUUCUCAGUACUCAGAUGAGGUCAGCGUCUUCCAGCUCAGCCAUGGUCACAGAUGAGCGGACAGACCCCUAGAAGCAGCUGGCACCCACUUAUCCUUACAACUGGGAUUAGAGGCCAGGCUGGCCUGAAACUUCACUGAGUUCAUGUCUGAACUGGAA